AGGCUUCAUAGAACAAAUUUUCAGUCCAUGGACAACUUUUUCUUCUUUUGCCAUGAGUGCAUGAAGUUGACAACUUUCUUCUUCUCCUGAAGCAACAAAGAAUGCUUAUUGGUAAUUACUUGCACUCAUGAGACAAUUGUAAGCUGAGAUCUUUAUUUAAAUAGCAGAUACAUAAUAUAUUUGAUUAUAGUAUGAAUGUGCUUACACCUCUCCAUUGCUAUCACUAAACAGGUCUGGGCAUCAAAGAGAGUAUUUCAUUCCAGCAUCACUAGAAUUAUAUCAUCAUAUAGCUCACUGUUUACUUGCUCUUUUAUGUCUCCAGCUUGCAAAAGGCCAUGGACAAUGCACCACCGAAUGCACAAUAAUCUGUUCCUUAACACUGAAAUAAACAUUUUAAAAAAAUUGGCAGUACUUGUUCGUGCUACAAAUUGAAACCACCACCGUCUUGCAUGCAUUCCUCCAGGUUGCAAUUAGUUGUGACCCCAUAAACAAUGUGCCACUAAAUGCAAUGAUAUCAGUUUCAUAAUCAAUAAUGUCUGAACAAUAUGAUUUGCCUAGAACAAGAACAUGAGCGCCCUGCUGUCAGGUCAAACGCGAAGCUGGCAGUCACCCAGUCAGAUGUGGUGAAGAUAGUAUUUUUGGUGAAGGAACAAAAGUGCAAAGUACAACUAGCAGAAUUACCUUAGGUGGUUCCAGCAUCGUCUUGCUCACCACCAUGGUCUCCAACUGUUGGUUCCAUCUUUUGGUGAU
rnacentral:lncRNA from 1 species